rnacentral:rRNA from 1 species
AACGAACGCUGGCGGCAUGCCUAACACAUGCAAGUCGAACGAUACCUUCGGGUCUAGUGGCGCACGGGUGCGUAACUCGUGGGAACCUGCCCUUAGGUUCGGAAUAACUCCCCGAAAGGGGUGCUAAUCCCGGAUAAUGUCUUCGGACCAGAGAUUUAUCGCCUUUGGAUGGGGCCGCGUUGGAUUAGCUUGUUGGUAGGGUAAAAGCCUACCAAGGCGACGAUCCAUAGCUGGUCUGGGAGGAGGAUCAGCCACACUGGGACUGAGACACGGCCCAGACUCCUACGGGAGGCAGCAGUGGGGAAUAUUGGACAAUGGGCGAAAGCCUGAUCCAGCAAUGCCGCGUGAGUGAUGAAGGCCUUAGGGUUGUAAAGCUCUUUUACCCGGGAUGAUAAUGACAGUACCGGGAUAAUAAGCUCCGGCUAACUCCGUG